GUGGGGAAUCUUGCGCAAUGGGCGAAAGCCUGACGCAGCCAUGCCGCGUGAAUGAUGAAGGUCUUAGGAUUGUAAAAUUCUUUCACCGGGGACGAUAAUGACGGUACCCGGAGAAGAAGCCCCGGCUAACUUCGUGCCAGCAGCCGCGGUAAUACGAAGGGGGCUAGCGUUGCUCGGAAUUACUGGGCGUAAAGGGCGCGUAGGCGGACAGUUUAGUCAGAGGUGUAAGCCCAGGGCUCAACCUUGGAAUUGCCUUUGAUACUGGCUGUCUUGAGUUUGGGAGAGGUGAGUGGAACUCCGAGUGUAGAGGUGAAAUUCGUAGAUAUUCGGAAGAACACCAGUGGCGAAGGCGACUCACUGGCCCAAUACUGACGCUGAGGCGCGAAAGCGUGGGGAGCAAACAGGAUUAGAUACCCGGGUAGUCC
rnacentral:rRNA from 1 species